GCAGCUUCCUUUGUACCAUGCAGCCACUGGCUCCAAAGGGACCUUCUACCAGGGAAUUUGAUUACUUGGAUAGAGCCCUUCUGUCGACCACUGACCUCAGGGCUAGCUCCCCAAAACGUCGCCUUCUCUACGCUCGUUUCUGCAAAGUAGCAACAGAACAACUUCCAGUAAAAGAAGGCACUGAGGUUUAAGUGCUACGUGGGAGCAGUUGCCGAUUUUUGCAAUGGGAGGCUGCAUAGAUUCAAGGUGGAACCAUCUAGUUGCAGGAAAACAAGCUCAGGGCUCCUGUUGAUUC
rnacentral:lncRNA from 1 species